GCCAGGUGUGGUGGCGGAUGCCUGUAAUCCCAGCUACUCAGGAGGCUGAGGCAGGAGAAUCACUUGAACCUGGGAGGCAGAGGUUGCAGUGAGCCAAGAUGGCACCACUGCGCUCUAGCCCAGGCAACAGAGUGAGACUCCGUCUCAA
rnacentral:SRP_RNA from 1 species